CAUCACUCUGUUCACCUCUGCACACUUCAUGCCUUGUCAACGAUCGACAGCGCGACGAAGGACUUCACCCGAUCAUCGGUGCGGUGGCCGGUUAGCAUCGGCUAGCGCAUCUGCUAUCCAAAUCAUAACUGUGUGACGCUCCUCCCAACAUCCAUCCAUCCAUUUUCUACCGUGCGUCCCUUACGGGGUCAUGGAGGGUGCUGGAGCCUAUCUCAGCUGCACACGAGCAGAAGGCAGCGUACACUCUGAACAAGUCGCCACCUCAUCGCAGGGCCAACAUAGACAGACAACAUUCACGAGAUGAACUGCGAGGAGGUGUUUAAAAAGGUACACCAACAUCUUCAUAUGCAGCCGUAAAUUCCUGGCAGUAAACCUGCAGAAAAUAGUUCUCUC